CCGUUCCGGGGGAACCCGGCUCCAGCAACCGCGCGAGUGGAACGCGCACACAUCUGGCGUGCGGCCGCGCCACCCGUCGCGACCCCGCCGGCUCCCCCGCACCCGGCGCGCCGCGAACCUCUCUCCCCGCGCGCACGCACGCCCCGGCCCCGCGCCGCCCGCGGCUCCUCCCGCGCCGCGCAUCCCUUCCCGCCCGGGACCCGCCGGGGCCCCUCGCGCUCCGGGCCCGGCCGAACAAAGGCGACGCCGCCAGCUCGGCCAGCUGCGGCGGCUCGGAGGCCCGGCCCGCGCUCACCUGGGCUCCGUCCCCGGCGGCGGUGGCGGUUCCUCGGCGGGGCUCCGGCAGCGCGGGCCUGGCGGCGGCGGCGGCCGCGGCAACAGCAACGGCGACGACGACCCGGGCGGCCGCCCCGGGGCCUGCGGGGCGCUCGGGCGGCAGGGGCCCGCUCGGCGCCGGCGCCGCGGGCUCAGGUCCCGGCGCGGGCGGCGGCGGCGGCGGCGGCGGCGGCGACGCGGGCGGGUGGGCGGCGGCGGCGGCGCGUCCCGGCAGGUCCAGGUCCGGCCCCGGCGACGCCGCGACGCGCCCUCCUCGCGCCCGCGAGCGGGACGGCGGCUCCGGCGCGGCCCGGGAUCCGAGGUGGCGGCGGCGACGCUCGGCGCUCGGCCGGCUCCGCUCCCUCCGCCUCCGGCUCGGGCGGGCCCGCGGCGGCGGCGGCAGGAGCGCGGCGGGCGCGGGGACGGCCCUGUCAGGGGCGGCGGGGGCGGCCGGGGCGGCGCUCAGGGCUGCGGGGCGGCGGGGCGGGCGGCGGCGGCUGCGGCUCCCGGGGCCGUCGCGCUGAGGUGCGGAGCUGCCACCGCGGCCAUCUUGUUGCUCUAACUGACAAGAACCCCCCCUCCCCCCGCUCCAGCCAGACGGGGCGCUCGCGCCCCCUUCCCCGCCCCGCGUUGGCCUCCAACAGGAAGUCGUCCCGGCCCCUGCCACGUGACUCCGCCGUAUCUGCAUACCGGAGGGCGAACUGGCCAAUCGGCGCUCUGCGCCGGAGCUCCGCCCCCACGCGCCCCUCCCCGGCCCAUUGGCUCAUCCCGCCUAGGCCACGCCCCGUCCUUCCCCCUUAA
ensembl:lncRNA